ACAUUUUGUACUUACAGUUUGAAUCACAAUACGGCAUCGUUUAAGAAGUGAAGAGGACGCUAUUUUGAGACGCGUGUUGGGAGGAGAAAAAGAGGAUGUAACUGACAUUGCGACGAUUGCACUCGACAUUCAUCUGCCUUCGAGAGGUUCUGUCAUGCCGCGCUCGUUUCUUGUAAGGAGUAAAAAGACUCACCCCGCCGGUCCAUCCAAGGACGUCUUCCGGCAGCGGGAUGAAUCUCACACUGAUAAAGGUCAGCCUGUGGACCAAGUGGCAAGGGACUCUGAAGAUAAUGUGCAGUCAGGUUUCCAUCCGGAGCUUCUGUUUGG